rnacentral:sRNA from 12 species
UGAGUAUCAGAGAUUAGUAGGGGGAGAACAAGUCCCUCAGAC